AGAGUUUGAUCCUGGCUCAGGAUGAAUGCUGGCGGCGUGCCUAACACAUGCAAGUCGAGCGGCAGCGCGGGUAGUUUACUACCUGGCGGCGAGCGGCGGACGGCUGAGUAACGCGUGGGAACGUGCCCCAAAGUGAGGAAUAACUGCCCGAAAGGGUGGCUAAUGCCGCAUAUGAUCUUCGGAUUAAAGUCUUCGGACGCUUUGGGAGCGGCCCGCGUCGGAUUAGGUUGUUGGUGAGGUAAUGGCUCACCAAGCCGACGAUCCGUAGCUGGUCUGAGAGGAUGAUCAGCCAGACUGGAACUGAGACACGGUCCAGACUCCUACGGGAGGCAGCAGUGAGGAAUCUUCCACAAUGGGCGAAAGCCUGAUGGAGCAACGCCGCGUGCAGGAUGAAGGCCUUCGGGUCGUAAACUGCUUUUAUAAGUGAAGAAUAUGACGGUAACUUAUGAAUAAGCACCGGCUAACUACGUGCCAGCAGCCGCGGUCAUACGUAGGGUGCAAGCAUUAUCCGGAGUGACUGGGCGUAAAGAGUUGCGUAGGUGGUUUGUUAAGUAGGUAGUGAAAUCUGGCGGCUCAACCGUACAGGCUAUUACCUAAACUGGCAAACUCGAGAAUGGUAGAGGUAACUGGAAUUUCUAGUGUAGGAGUGAAAUCCGUAGAUAUUAGAAGGAACACCAAUGGCGUAGGCAGGUUACUGGACCAUUUCUGACACUGAGGCACGAAAGCGUGGGGAGCGAACGGGAUUAGAUACCCCGGUAGUCCACGCCGUAAACGAUG
rnacentral:rRNA from 1 species